AGAAUCUUCUCAAUACACAUGUUAACAUUUGUGUUUAGAAGAGAGUUAGUGCCGACUCAAUGGGUUAGGUGAGAUGCCGCUAGCAUUCAUUAUUGGGUAUCCAAUGUUGCUUCACCUUCACAUGCACCCUUAUCCGUAUCCUAUGCUUCCUUUGCUCUUGCAGCCCCUAUAUAUGCACUGUUACAAUCCUAAGGCAAACACACACUCUUUAGGGUUGGGGUUCUUACAUCCAUUUAGUCUAGUUGAAGAAAGUUGCUAUUGCAAUUGUUGUCUUACCCAUUCCUCCCAUCCCAUAAAUCUAUUAUAUGUACUCCAUCAUCAUAUGGAUCCACUCUUGUCUUAUGAUAAUAGAGUCGCAUGAUAGGAAUCUUGGAUCGGAGGAUUAGGUAAAACAACUAUUGCAUUAGGCUUUAUAAAUAAAUCAUUCUUUUAUUUGAUUUCUCAUCACCUUCAUCAGGUUUGCUUCUUACAACUUGGAUUCUUGAAGUAGGUAGAAAGAGUUUUGGUCACUCUUGAGUCAAAAUUAUAUACCCAUUUAGUUUAAAUUAGCUCUUGCAAAAAGCAUAAUUAUGAACAGAUUUGGUAUUGUUAAGAUUUGUAUGUUCUAAUUGUUUUUAAUGUUGUUUAUUAAUAUUUGAAAGAACAGGUUCUGCUUUUGUAGAAGUUGGUCUCAAACUAGAUCUACAAAAGAACUUAAUUAUAUGAGUUUUAGUAGUUAAUUAGUUGUAUUAUGAUGUGGUAUUGUGGUAAGACUGAGACAGUUAUAGUUGAAUAUCCAUUAAAAACCUUUUUACAUUGUCACAGAUUUACACCUAUUCCUCAUUCCUUGUUUUUUGUGUGUUUUCAAGAUCUUAUAUGUUUCUCUGGAUCAGUAAACUUUUGGAUCAAAAAUAUAUGACUAGUUAUUUUUGAUCUAUUUUAUAGAGGCCAAUGUGUGGUUUUUUCUUCUCUUUCUAUUCUGUUUAUAUGAAUCACUAUGUGCGACUUAUUUUUUAACAAUAGGCAAUGAUUGGUAAAAUUCUGCAAAGACCACUUUUUUUAAAACUAUAUUUAACCCAGUCUCUAUUGACUUAAAUCAAGAUGAGUCACACACUUUAAAAAUGGAUCUGACUUAAAGUGGUGGAACAUAGAUCGAUUUCAUCGAAUAAAAGAGUUGUUCAUAACAUUUCUCUGCAGCAAAUUGUUAGUUGAUAAUCAUUAUCAUGAGUGGUUGGAAACAAAUGUUGAUGAGUGAUGAUUUUGCUCUCUUGGUUAUCUUCUAGUUGCUGUUGAUGGUAUGUAGGUGUGAAACAAAAGAAAUUAGUCACUAUAAUUGCAUUUUGUUGAGAUUAUGCUGUGGUCAUGUGCUAUCAUGUUCUGUCUGAGGAUGGUUUGAUGGUUAUGUGUGCUUCUAGCCUUCUACUACCAAUGAAGCUUAUGUUGACAUGGAGUGUUGUGAAUCAACAAUGAAGGAAUAUCAAUAUGUAUAAUUGUUCAUUGUGUUGUAUAUAUAUAUAUAUAUAUAUAUAUAUAUAUAUAUGUAAUGAAGCAACGCAGAGUCAACUAAUAUGGUGUCAAGGAGAAAUUUAUGGACAUAUCAAUGUGGGCGAGUUUUAGCAAGGGGCAAUUGUCAAACUGCCCCAUCUUAGAUCAAUUUUGUUUUAUUUGCUAUUAGUUGUACAUCCUGUAUUUUUAUAUUUUAAUUUAUAGUCAUAUUCAUUUAUAAUAUAUCAGUUUUAAUUUUAAUUUAAUGGAGACUAAAAUAUUUUGAAGGGACAAAAA
rnacentral:lncRNA from 1 species